UGUAAGCAUGCUAGUUCAUAGGAAAACAGCCCCUGGGACAGCUGUGAAAUUGUUAAAUCACCAGCCCUGCACAGCCCCAACAUCCCACGGCUGCAGGACGGAGCCUCCACUACCAGCACCUGCGUUCAAGGACUUGACGUCGUCCUCAGAAGCCUUCAGACAACACUCGGACACAAAACUUGUUUGGAACAUCCCUGAGAGGACCAGCACUUCACUGGAAAAUGAAGCGGCGAUAGGCUAAGGUAGAUAAAAACACGGAGCUACGUCAGUAAGGCUCACACCCAUCCAGAGUACGGGGCACAGAAGGAGCAGCUCCAGCGGGAGCUCCAGAACUUUGCAUCGCAAUCAAAGGCUUCCCUGUGGCUCACAGCACACCUGGCUGCAUGCCUAUGGCUUGACUGGAUGCUGGAUUUUCACCAGAAAACGCCUUUUGCCUGCAUACAAGCGUGCUGUGUGUGGCUUUUAGAUCCAACAGCGGCCAGUUCCCAUCGCAGCCCCUGUGUGGCAUCAGGGGAAGAGCAACGAGUCCCUGAGGGACUGACGGCCAAGCAGAGGGCACGGAGGGGCCGCAGCCGGGAGCGCGGCGCAGAGCGCGGAGGGCUUGUGGCGAAAAUAAACCGAAAAAUGGUCAAAUACAGCACGGCGAGAGCCGCACGGAUCCUGAGGCGUCAGGACGGUGAAACCCAGAGGGGGAAAAGCCCUGAAACGCCAGCGCCGCCCGCAGCACGGCCGUGACGGGGAAACGCCACAGAGAGCGGCAGAGCACCCCGACACCCCCCGGUACCCCCCGUCCCCGCCGUACCUCCAGGCCGG